rnacentral:rRNA from 1 species
UACAGGGGGGGCAAGCGUUGUUCGGAAUUACUGGGCGUAAAGGGCUCGUAGGCGGCCGGCUAAGUCUGACGUGAAAUCCCCAGGCUUAACCUGGGAACUGCGUCGGAUACUGGCGGGCUUGAAUCCGGGAGAGGGAUGCGGAAUUCCAGGUGUAGCGGUGAAAUGCGUAGAUAUCUGGAGGAACACCGGUGGCGAAGGCGGCAUCCUGGACCGGCAUUGACGCUGAAUAGCGAAAGCCAGGGGAGCAAACGGG